rnacentral:rRNA from 1 species
GUGAAACUGCGGAAUGGCUCAUUAAAUCAGUUAUCGUUUAUUUGAUAGUACCUUACUACAUGGAUAACCGUGGUAAUUCUAGAGCUAAUACAUGCUAAAAACCUCGACUUCGGAAGGGGUGUAUUUAUUAGAUAAAAAACCAAUGCCCUUCGGGGCUCCUUGGUGAUUCAUAAUAACUUAACGAAUCGCAUGGCCUUGCGCCGGCGAUGGUUCAUUCAAAUUUCUGCCCUAUCAACUUUCGAUGGUAGGAUAGUGGCCUACCAUGGUUUCAACGGGUAACGGGAUUUUAGGGAAUGAUUCCGGAGAGGGAGCCUGAGAAACGGCUACCACAUCCAAGGAAGGCAGCAGGCGCGCAAAUUACCCAAUCCCGACACGGGGAGGUAGUGACAAUAAAUACUGAUACAGGGCUCUUUUGGGUCUUGUAAUUGGAAUGAGUACAAUUUAAAUCCCUUAACGAGGAACAAUUGGAGGGCAAGUCUGGUGCCAGCAGCCGCGGUAAUUCCAGCUCCAAUAGCGUAUAUUAAAGUUGUUGCAGUUAAAAAGCUCGUAGUUGAACCUUGGGCCUGGCUGGCCGGUCCGCCUCACCGCGUGCACUGGUCCGGCCGGGCCUUUCCUUCUGGGGAGCCUCAUGCCCUUCACUGGGUGUGCAGGGGAACCAGGACUUUUACUUUGAAAAAAUUAGAGUGUUCAAAGCAGGCCUAUGCUCGAAUACAUUAGCAUGGAAUAAUAGAAUAGGACGUGUGGUUCUAUUUUGUUGGUUUCUAGGACCGCCGUAAUGAUUAAUAGGGAUAGUCGGGGGUGUCAGUAUUCCGUUGUCAGAGGUGAAAUUCUUGGAUUUACGGAAGACUAACUACUGCGAAAGCAUUCACCAAGGAUGUUUUCAUUAAUCAGUGAACGAAAGUUAGGGGAUCGAAGACGAUCAGAUACCGUCGUAGUCUUAACCAUAAACGAUGCCGACUAGGGAUCGGGCGAUGUUAUCUUUUUGACUCGCUCCGCACCUUU